GUGCCAGCCGCUGCGGUAAUACGUAGGGUGCAAGCGUUAAUCGGAAUUACUGGGCGUAAAGCGUGCGCAGGCGGUUCGGAAAGAAAGAUGUGAAAUCCCAGGGCUCAACCUUGGAACUGCAUUUUUAACUCCCGGACUAGAGUAUGUCAGAGGGGGUGGAAUUCCACGUGUAGCAGUGAAAUGCGUAGAUAUGUGGAGGAACACCGAUGGCGAAGGCAGCCCCCUGGGAUAAUACUGACGCUCAUGCACGAAAGCGUGGGAGCAAACAGGAUUAGAUACCCUGGUAGUCCACGCCCUAACGAUGUCAACUAGCUGUUGGGCCCUUCGGGCUUAGUAGCGCAGCUAACGCGUGAGUUGACCGCCUGGGAGUACGGUCGCAAG
rnacentral:rRNA from 1 species